GGAAGUGGACGGUGACUGGUGUUGCCCCCGGGCUUCAAACCCGGUGUGGGGCGCUAAAAACGUCUCGGGUGGGUUCGAUUCCCAUGCACUUCCGCCA
rnacentral:tRNA from 1 species